UUCCCUUUAUUUUAGGAAAAACGUAAAAUACCACCCUUAUUGUUUCGCACUUUCUCACUUUAGUAUAAUAUGGUUUAAAAUGUAUUACUUUCGUAUCCUGUGAUUUUAUUUUUUCGUUAAAUCAGUGACAAAAUUAAAACUAAAGAGUACUAAAGUGAAUAUUCGAUAAACUAUAGGUAGGGUAUAUGAAAUUUUUGUAUAUGAUUUAACGAAAAGUUAACGGAGGGGCUGACGAAAAGCGAAAAAUAAAAUCGCAGAGUAUUAAUUUAUAAAUCGAUAUAUUUUAAAUCAUAGGCUAUUAAAGUGAAAAACUACGAAGUUACAGAGAUGAUAUUUGAAAUUUACUCUUUAUUUUAUUUUGACCUU
rnacentral:lncRNA from 1 species